AGUUACUACUUCGCCUGCCCCACUUUAAUCUGCAGGUUGCUUCCCACAAAUGCACACAGACUGAGGAAAGCUGGAGGCUCUCAAGUGCCCUCAGCAUCCGAAGCGGAGCCGCUUGGCUGGAGGCAGUCCCGCCGCCGCGGGCUCGGGGACAGGCGCUUGGCAGUGGGACAGCACAGCGAGCUCCGCACCGUGCGCGGCUGCUUGGGGGGUGUCAGCAGCCGUGUGCCCGAGUUUUAGGACUGAAGGCAGUCCGGGGGGAGAGCGGGACCUGCGCGGCUCCCAUUCCGAGGUUUGCAAAAGUGCAACCACACACUUUUUACCACUUGUCAGACUAAUUCCACAGCAAAAUCCAAGCAACAAAAGUUUGAUCUGGCCUGUAGCUUCAGAAAAAUCCUGAAAUGCAGUCAACUGAUUUUUAUUUAAAGGUGUGAUUACACAACUCAGGCUGCAUGUAUCACCUAUUUUUGGAAAGGUUUCACAUUAUGGGGACUCACUGGUCCAUCAUAGAUACUAAAUCUCAGCACAGCACUGGCUAGAUACCAGCCUACCAGAGCUUCACUUUACAGCAGCAACAAGUUGAUCUGAAAUUGAAACAAGAAGAUAAAAUAAAGAUAUUCACAAACUCAAUUACAUACAGGAAUGAGUAUGGAAUCUGGGGACUCCCUUUGUAAGAUGCCUACAGCUUUUUGGCUCAGAAGAGCUCUUGGUGUCAAGCACACA